ACUCCUACGGGAGGCAGCAGUGGGGAAUCUUAGACAAUGGGCGCAAGCCUGAUCUAGCCAUGCCGCGUGUGUGAUGAAGGCCUUAGGGUCGUAAAGCACUUUCGCCAGGGAUGAUAAUGACAGUACCUGGUAAAGAAACCCCGGCUAACUCCGUGCCAGCAGCCGCGGUAAUACGGAGGGGGUUAGCGUUGUUCGGAAUUACUGGGCGUAAAGCGCGCGUAGGCGGACUAUUAAGUCAGGGGUGAAAUCCCGGGGCUCAACCCCGGAACUGCCUUUGAUACUGGUAGUCUUGAGUUCGAGAGAGGUGAGUGGAAUUCCGAGUGUAGAGGUGAAAUUCGUAGAUAUUCGAGGAACACCAGUGGCGAAGGCGGCUCACUGGCUCGAUACUGACGCUGAGGUGCGAAAGUGUGGGGAGCAAACAGGAUUAGAUACCCUGGUAGGCGUAG
rnacentral:rRNA from 1 species